GGAUGACACGCCGCCAAGGAUAAAAAGGUGUCAAUCGGAUGUUGUCAAGGACAACCACAAUACCGAUUCUAUCAGGUGAUCCCAGGAUCAUCUUAAAUGAUGUAAUGAAAAUGACACAUGUGUAGUCUUCUGAAUCCUCAUUGUACUAUCAAAAUUCAGACAAGUAUGUUUAUAUUCGGUCCUGUACUGUUCAACUUUCAGAUAUUUUAGAUUUCAAUGACAACCACCAAUAUUGAUAAAAUUGAGAAUGGAAAUGGGGAAUGUGUCAAAGAGACAACAUCCCGACCAAAGAAAAAAACAACAGUAGAAGGUCACCAACAGGUCUCAAUGUAGCUAGAAAUUCCCGCACCCGG
rnacentral:lncRNA from 1 species